rnacentral:rRNA from 1 species
AAUGUAUAUAUUAUGCAAUAUUAUACAAAUUGAAGUUGGUUCUACAAAUUAUUUUGUGCGUGUAAUAGUUUAUUCUGAAAGAUGUAAUGUGAUAAGUGAUAAAUACCCCAUAGGUAUGCACAUUUUAUAAUCUACAUGGUUAUGCGAGAAGGCGUGAGCAAAAGACGGAUGAUGCCUAGGUCCCAUGAAAAGCCGUAGAGGUGACCGUACCUAGAACUGACACAGGUACCCAAGGUGAGUAGCCUAAGGUGUGACGGGCAAAGUACCGCGAAGGAACUCGGCAAAAUCGCUCUGUAACUUCGGGAGAAGGAGUGCCAGCUUAGAGAUAAGCUGGUCGCAGUGACCAGGGGACUCCGACUGUUUAAUAAAAACAUAGCCGACUGCUAGUUCGAAAGAAUGUGUAUAGUCGGUGAAUCCUGCUCAGUGCUGGUAUCUGAAAUCGGGUUACAACCUGACGAAGGACCAGUAAACAGCGGGGGUAACUAUGACCCUCUUAAGGUAGCGUAAUACCUUGUCGCUUAAUUGGCGACUUGCAUGAAUGGCACAACGAGAGUCCCACUGUCUCCGCGGUACGUCCGGCGAAAUUGACUUUACUGGCGCACAGUCCAGUAACCUCAACCUGCAAGCGAAGACCCCGUAGAGCUUUACUGCAACCUGGCGUUGUUCAGUCGCACACUACGUGCUGAGUAGACGGGAGACGCUGAUCCUCGGGACGCCAGUCCCGGGAGUAGUCACCAAUAGAGACACCGUCCUUAGUUUGUAACUGAACUAACUCUUCAUGAGAACACCGCUUGGUGGGCAGUUUGGGUGGGGCGCCACGCGCUCGAAAAAAUAACAAGCGUGCCCAAAGGUCAGCUUAGGUGGUUCAGUCUCCACCGUGAAAUGUAAGGGUAAAAGCUGGCUUGACGUGGAUCGGCACAAUAACGAUCGACGAUGCGAAAGCAGGGCCUAUCGAACCAAUGUGCCUCAUUUCUGGGGGCCAUUGAUAACAGAAAAGUUACCUCGGGGAUAAUUGAGUUGUCACCAGCAAGAGCACAUAUCGACCUGGUGGCUUGCUACUUCGAUGUCGUCUCUUCCCAACCUCCUGGUGCAGCAGCUGGGAAGGGUGGGGUUGUUCGCCCAUUAAAGGGGAUCGUGAGAUGGGUUUAGACCGUCGUGAGACAGGUUUGUUGCUUUGUGGUUGAGGCGUAUAAGAUGCCUGAUCGGAAGGGCCCUUUAGUACGAGAGGAACGAGGGCUCGGGGCCACUAGUUUACCAGUUGUCCGGCAGGGCAAUGCUGGGUAGCCACGCCCUACGUGGAUAAGAGCUGAAAGCAUCUAAGCUCGAAGUCACCCGAAAGACGAGGCAUCUCAGGGGACUCGUAGAAGACGAGUUUGAUAGACAGCGGGUGUAAGCACCGAGGUUCGCCGAGGUGUUCAGCCCAGCUGCACUAACCCCCCGAGCAUCUACAAU